AGCUCAUUCAGUUGAGCGUGGCACUAACAAUGCCAACGUCACGGAUUCGAUUCCCGU
rnacentral:tRNA from 1 species